rnacentral:rRNA from 1 species
GAAGACUACGAGCAUAAGCUUAAAAAUCAAAGGAUUUGGCGGCGCUUUAGACCUCCUAGAGGAGCUUGUCCUGUAAUCGACACUCCUCGUUCAACCUUACCUUCUCUAGCCUACAGCCUAUAUACCGCCGUCAUAAGUUCACCCUUCGAAGGUUUUGCAAUGGACAAAAUCGGCUAAUGCCCCUAAAGUCAGGUCAAGGUAUAGCAUACGAGAAGGAAAGAGAUGAGCUACACUUCCUACACAGGACUUACGGAAAAUUUUUUGAAAUAAAAAUCAAAGUAGAAUUUAGCAGUAAGUGAAAAAUAGAGUGUUUU